rnacentral:tRNA from 1 species
GGCCUGAUGGUCUAGUGGUAUGAUUGUCGCUUCGGGAGUUUGCGCCUGAAUCUCUAAGAGAUUUGCAUUGUGACAGGCCCCGGGUUCGAAUCCCGGUCAGGCCC